GGUGGCACAGUGGCUAAAGCUCUUGGCUGCCAACCAAAAGGUUGGUGGUUCAAACCCACCAGCCA
rnacentral:tRNA from 1 species